rnacentral:rRNA from 1 species
UACGUAGGGGGCAAGCGUUGUCCGGAAUUAUUGGGCGUAAAGAGCGUGUAGGCGGUCCGGUAAGUCAGCUGUGAAAGUCAAGGGCUCAACCCUUGAAUGCCGGUUGAUACUGUCGGGCUAGAGUCCGGAAGAGGCGAGUGGAAUUCCCGGUGUAGCGGUGAAAUUGCGCAGAUAUCGGGAGGACACCAAUGGCGAAGGCAGCUCUCUGGGACGGUACUGACGCUGAGACGCGAAAGCGUGGGGAGCGAACAGGGAAUUGAACGG